rnacentral:sRNA from 1 species
CUAAAGCGAGGAAACCAAGCUGGCGCCUCUUGCAAUGGAGACGGUCAUUUCUUCAGAUAGCUCCCCAGCUCUGGAAAAUGAGCAUCCUCAAGGUGAAGAAAGCUUUUUUUGCUUUGGUGACUAACGGUGUACGAGCUGCCCCUUUAUGGGAUAGUAAGAAGCAAAGUUUUGUGGGUAAGCAAAAGUUUCUGGAACACAAUAUUAUUGGCAUCUUGUGCUGGGCAGGGAGACGAGCUUCGGGCAGUGCUGAGGGCUCUGUCUUGUCCUCUAGGCAUGCUGACCAUCACUGAUUUCAUCAAUAUCCUGCACCGCUACUAUAAAUCAGCCUUGGUACAGAUCUAUGAGCUAGAAGAACACAAGAUAGAAACUUGGAGAGAGGUGUAUCUCCAGGACUCCUUUAAACCACUUGUCUGCAUUUCUCCUAAUGCCAGCUUGUUUGAUGCUGUCUCUUCAUUAAUUCGGAACAAGAUCCACAGGCUGCCAGUUAUUGACCCAGAAUCAGGCAAUACUUUGUACAUCCUCACCCACAAGCGCAUUCUGAAGUUCCUCAAAUUGUUUAUCACUGAGUUCCCCAAGCCAGAGUUCAUGUCCAAGUCUCUGGAAGAGCUACAGAUUGGCACCUAUGCCAAUAUUGCUAUGGUUCGCACUACCACCCCGGUCUAUGUGGCUCUGGGGAUUUUUGUACAGCAUCGAGUCUCAGCCCUGCCAGUGGUGGAUGAGAAGG